AGUUCAUCAUCACCACUGAUGAGAUCCAGGAUGAGCACAGGGGAGACGACCUUGCUGUGCCGGGUCAUGAGACUGCGGAACUCUGACUCUAGAGACUCCUUCCCUCGCUCAAACAGCAGCUUCUGCAAGGACACGAGGAGGCAGGCUGCUGCUGCUGAAGGACACAUUGGGAAGCCUGACUUGGUCACUUCUCUUUCCCUUCUGUUUCUCAAGACUGAUGGUCAUUCCAAGUGUGACAGCGCAAACCCUUAAUCCUAUAACUCAAGAAGCAGAGGCAGGUGGAUCUCUGAGCUUGAGACCCGCCAUGACAACAUAGAGGCCCUGACCCAAAACAAACAAAAAAAUACUUGAUGA